rnacentral:rRNA from 1 species
GACGAACGCUGGCGGCGUGCUUAACACAUGCAAGUCGAACGAAGUGGCGAACGGGUGAGUAACGCGUAAUCAACCUGCCCUUCAGAGGGGGACAACAGUUGGAAACGACUGCUAAUACCGCAUACUGAAGGAGGGGAUUGCGUCUGAUUAGCUAGGUGGAGGGGUAACGGCCUACCAAGGCGAUGAUCAGUAGCCGGUCUGGGAGGAUGAACGGGCACAUUGGGACUUGAAACCGGCCCAGACUCCUACGGGAGGCAGCAAUUGGGAAUCUUCCGCAAUGGACGAAAGUCUGACGGAGCAACGCCGCGGGAGUGAUGACAGCCUUCGGGUUGUAAAGCUCUGUUAAUCGGGACGCGGUACCGGAAUAGAAAGCCACGGCUAACUACGUGCCAGCCGCCGCGGUAAUUC